ACAGAAGACCCCACCCCUGCCCAACAAGACCUAGUCACAGCAGACCCCACCCCUGCCCAACAAGACCUAGUCACAGAAGACCCCACCCCUUCCCAACAAGACCUAGUCACACCAGACCCCACCCAGGCCCAACAAGACCUAGUCACACCAGACCCCACCCAGGCCCAACAAGACCUAGUCACACCAGACCACUCCCAGGCCCAACAAGACCUAGUCACACCAGACCACUCCCAGGGCCAACAAGACCUAGUCACACCAGAAUCCAAAGAAUCCAAGCUAGGCACGCCCACACCAGAACCCAACCAGGAAACAGUUCCAGCUCCAGAGACAGCUCCAGGCCAAAAAUACCCAAUCAUAACAGAGACAGCUUCAGGCCAAAAAUACCCAAUCACAACAGAGACAGCUCCAGGCCAAACAGAAUCAGCAGGCACAACACCCAAAUCGAAUUCCACUAAAUGCAGAAACAGAUAAACCCAACCAGGACAUAGGGCACAAGAAGGCCCUGCUAGACCUGGACAACCCAGGUCUUAAACAGGAGAAUGAACUAGACCAAGAAUCAGACAAGCCCCAAGAGGAGAUGACAAACCUGUACACGGGAGAUGGUAAACAUGAGAGCGACUCAGGCACUUAAUGAUGAAUGAAGAAAAGCCAGAGAUAAAGAUCCAAGGAGAAGGACCGUACACAGCAGACCACAAAGACAAUAACCAAACAAAUCAACAUACACAGGAGGACAACCAGGACAUCCAGUCAGGGGAGUGAAGACAGAAUGAUGAUGUGGAAGAAUAAGGGAAAGGGCAAAGAGUAAGUAAUGAGGAGAACAGAGAUGGGAUAAUGGACCACAAUAGAUGUAUGGGUGCAAACACAGAGGAUGAUGGGGGAAAUGAAGUAGAGAUGGAGGAGGAAGGGAUAGAGCAGAAGGAACCAGACACAGAGGAAGAAGGAGAUAAUACCAAACAAACAUCUACUCAGAGUGAUGAGGAGCUGGAUGAGAAACCCAUCACAGACCCCAAUGAGCAGCACAUUACCCAGACUACACUACAGGGUUGUCCACUGGGUAGUCCAGUGACAAUAAUCCCUAAUGCAAAUAACCCAGUAGAAUUAUGGGUAAGCUGUAUGACUUUAAAUCCACUGUUUUUGAGAUGACACUAAAGUUUGGAUAACAGGUCUCCACCUUAUUUUCUACUGAGCUGCUACCCUCAUACUGUUAGAAGAAAAACUCUGGCGAAGAAAAUGCUGGAUGCUACAGUGUAAUACAAGCAUUGGAAUUUCUUGAUUUUGGUUUCAUAGUUUGCAAACAGCAUUUUAUUCUCUAGUUAUGUUUCAGUUCUACGUACCUGUGGUAGCUAACAUAAUACAUUAUUUACUACAAGUUAAUACACUAUUUGUUAUUUUAGCUCAAUUUAAAUAUAUGUUUUAAUGAACCUUAACAUACUGUUAUUGCUAAAGAACUUACUUAGGCUACUGAUAUGCCAUCUUGAUGGGUUGUCAGAGAUCCUCAGUGAUCAGUGUAAAUAAAUAAAUGUUAACAGAAUGAUGUGAAUAAAUGACUAGAACAAGCGGUUGUCACUCUGCAUCACGUGGGACUAAACAGCCCUCAGUAGUGGCCUGCGUUCAUGGAUGCCAAGGGAAGCCGCAACUAUUUAAACAAUCAAUAAAUACAAAUUCUCAAAUAAUUUUAUAUAUAUUUUUUUCUUCAUAAUUUUACGUCAAUUCGCAAGUGGCUGAAUCUCACUGGAGAAAUCAUCGGAGCGAGGGAAAUGGCACCCGUCUGUUGUGUAGCCUACAGUACUGUAUGUAUCUGAUGCUGUCUGGACCAAAAAAGUAUAACAUGUUGCCGCUGUAGCAUUUGAUUGGUUGAUGCCAGCAAGCAUUUGGCCUCAUUUGAUAAAAAAAUAAAUAGCCAAUCAGCGUUGAGCUGAGCUGUCUCGGCGCAGGUGUGCUGGAUGUACCCGGGUGUAUUGCAAUGUGCUGAACAAGACUGGUUACUCGCAUCAAUGACUCUGUCUCGUCAUUUAACAUCCAAACAUGGUGUCAGAAGCGGGAUGACUAUCCAUGAUAUCCGCAAAUUAGAGCAAUCCUUUGGUUAAAAAUCGCCAUAAUUCACCUUCGCUAUAUAGUGUUGUUAGCAUCGAGAUAGAAAUGGCAGUGAACAUUCCCCUUCCCACAGUUAUGAUGCUCAGCGGAGAUUGGAGCACGAAUUGGGAUACGUCCAGAGGUGAAUGGGAGGACUAGCCACGGGACUUCUGGAAAAGGAUGAAGAUGUAGUGGCUGCCAUUUUGAGGACUAUAAUGGGAGCUGAAUGCCGACAAGUAUACAAACACAACCCAAACCUAACAGCAGCUCAGCAAGGUAGAGUCUGAUUCAGCCAGUCUCCCGUCUGUCAUGAGCCGCCAGAGUCUCCCGUCUGUCAUGAGCCGCCAGAGCUGCCAGUCUGUCAUGAGCUACCCCUCAGUCCGGAGCUGCCCCUCAGUCCAGUGGGGCCAUUUAGAAGGGUCGCCGUGUUUAGAAGCCCACGGAGGCGGACAAUGAGGCGGAGAAAGACUGUGGUGAAGUGGGAUCCACGUCCCGCGCCAGAGCCGCCACCGCGGACAGACGCCCACCCAGAUCCUCCCCUAUAUGUUAAGGUUUUGCGGCCGGAGUCCGCACCUUUGGGAGGGGUACUUUCCCGUUCUGAACUUUAUUUCCUUUGUUUUGUCAUUAUUUACUAUGGUCAGGGUGUGAGUUGGGGUGGGCAGUCUAUGUUUGUUUUUCUAUGAUUUUGGGAUUUCUAUGUUUCGGCCUAGUAUGGUUCUCAAUCAGAGGCAGGUGUCAUUAGUUGUCUCUGAUUGAGAAUCAUACUUAGGUAGCCUGGGUUUCACUGUUUGUUUGUGGGUGUUUGUUUCCGUGUCUGUGUUUUUCACCACACUGUACUGUUUGGGGUUUCGUUCAUUCCACGUUUAUUGUUUUUGUAUUCAGUUGUGUUCAUGUUGGGUAUUUCUUAUUAAAAGAACCAAUAGACACUUA